rnacentral:lncRNA from 1 species
AAAUGUGACCGUUUUUAUUUUCAUUGUAAAGAGGUGUAUCUGAACCAGAUUGUAACAAAAUUACCACAGCUUAUUCCAAAAGAAAAGUUUAAUACAAGAGAUUUUAGAAAAUUAAACACAUUUGUUUAAAAAUCCUAUUGUGUAAACCUUAACAUAAGAGGGUAGUUAACAUAAUACUACACGUUUCGGAGCAAAUCUGCAGACUGUUAGGCCCCACGUGCAUCCAGACAGUGGACUCGACUCCCAAUAUGUGGCCAUAUUCCUCCCAGCAGAGGGCUCACAGGGACCCGGUCAGCGGUGGGAGACCCUUCGGGAUAGACGGCCUCCCCGCUGGGCCCCCUGCUCCUGCAUUCACAAGUCUCCCUCCUCCAGGAAGUCCGUACCUGCUAAGGUGAGCAAAGUGAUCUCUACCAAACGAUGCCAGCGAUGGUGAAGCUGAGGCUGCAGACGUAGACAUUCUUUCUAGGCUGAAUCCUAGAUAAGAAAACAUCCUAACGAGCUCCACUCCCCCCUCCCUCGGAAAUGCAUGUUGUCCAGGUUCCUCUCAGCGAUCCUGGGUGCAAAUAUCCUUCCGUGGCCUCCGUCCCAAUUUUUUGCAAGCGCCUUUCCCCUCCAUGGUUGUCUAUUGAUGGUGGGAAGAACCUCUAAAGGUGAACGGGUGGCCUCUCUGCCUGCAGUUUGGGAAGGCAGGAAGCUAGACCUGAUCAGGCUCUGAGGGGGGCAGGUCAGCUAGUGGUUUUCCGGUCGUGAUGGAGAAGCAUUCAUGUGCCCAUAAGAACAGAACCCCUGGACCUCCAAACACUAGUGAACUCGGCAUUUUCUACCAAUGAGGUGCUCAUCCGUGCCAUAGGCUCAGCCAUCCUUUAGAGAAAUCAGAUUUUUGUUUUCUCCUAAAGAAACUCAUUAGGUACAUAAAGAAGCCCAUGCGACGUGUUGUGAAGAUUUUGCUGCAAGAGUAGAGGCUCCUUGCCCAAGAGUGUCACAAGCAGGCCCGUACACCACAGUGCUUCCUGGCUGGGGGGCAGGUGCAUCUGGGCAGCGGCAGGAGGAGCCCAGAGCUGGUGGGGUCUGAGCGCACCUCUACCCUCAUCCCUGCUGAUCCAGUAGCUGAAAUUUUAUUUUAGAAACCUAAUCAAAACCACGUAUUACAGAAACAUGAAGACGAACUUUUUGGCACAUAAACGUUAGAUAAAAUAUACAGUGCUACAAUUGUGCAAAAUUAGCACAGAAGCCAAACCCAACAGCAAAUAUUUAAUGUUAGCUUUAAUGAAACAAUGCAAAAUAUUUUGAAAAAUGAUCGUUGUCCAAGACCCUGCUCACGAGCAGAUGCCUGCCUGCCGGAAGCACCCUCUGUCUACCGCGUCCCCAGCUGGGGGCAGAGCCCAAUGUGUGGCGUGGUCCUGAGUCAAGCACUGGGGAAAGGUCAAGACGAUUAUUGCCUUUGGGGUUGAAACUGAGGUGGAGGUGCUCCCCUUCCGGGGCUGCCUGCUGGCCGGUCUGCUGUUUCUGGGCAGGCGGGGCCUUGCCGGGUCUUCCACUGGCAGCUGCAGGCUGUAAGAGGGCCCCUCGGGAGUGGAGUGCCCCACGGGGGAUGGGUUCUGGUGCCGAUACGAGGGAGCUGGGCUGAGGCAUGAGGAGAUUGAUGGGGAGGGAGCCUGCUGGGACCCCGGAGGACCAGGCCUGGCCGGUACCCUGGCUGAAAGCGGGCAGCUGGGGGGCGAUUGGGGCCCAGAGCCUUGUGCCUGGGGCCUCAGGUGAGUGAAUGGUCCCCUGUGGAGCUGAGAAAAGAGGAAACUAGUGUGUUCCAGCCAGAGACCCGGUUCUGGGAGCUGGGAAGUAAGCAGGGCAGCUUCUGAUCCGCGGGGCUGGCUGGGACCUCUCUGUUCCUGGUCCUGACCCUGAGGCCUCCCCUGACGGUGGCCGCUGGGCAGGAGCUGCAGCUGUGCUCGGCUGCGAAUGUCAACAGCUGUGAUUGCCUCUGGUUUUCAAAGGCACGACCCACACCCUGCUACUGCUGACAACGGAGCGGUCAGCCGGGAGCUCAGGG